AUCCUUCUGUAGUUCAUCAGCAGGAUUGGGUUUUCACAUUUAUGUGUGAGACGUGCCUCCCUCAAACCUUGUUACAACUUUGGUUGGCACAUUACCUGUCUGAUG